rfam:Ovis aries breed Texel chromosome 2, whole genome shotgun sequence.
UCCCUGGUGGUCCAUUGGUUAAGACUCCACACUUCUAAUGUAGUGGAUGCGGGUUCAGUCCCUGAUUGGGGAA